rnacentral:lncRNA from 1 species
GUUCCUCACUCUUGCCUUCAUAACAUAUGGUUUAUCAACUAGAUACCUUCUCAGGUGCUGGCAUCAUUCGGAUAUAUAUCAAUUAUUCAAAAAAAAUUCGAUCUAUUAAACAAACUGGACUGAGAUGAGAACAAGCAAACUUCCAGUCAUCAUGCAUCAAUUCUGAAAAAAAUUGUUUGGUUAAAUCAAAUAAACUGAUAGGUAAGCAACUUCCAAUCCGAAAUGGCAAACAAUAAUUUAAACAAUUUGAUCGCAUUUUGAGAAGGGGCAGGGCAAUUUGCCGGAUAUGAACUCACCCCACGUUCCAGGGUAGGUCGCCUGACAGAUAAAAAAUGGUCUGGAUGAAGCACGUACUCCACAACUUACCACGUGUCCGUCUCAUAAUUCAGUAGGGUCGCCAUCGCAGAGUUCCUUUAGUUGGCUUUUUGUUUAAGCACGCAAAUUUGGGAAGUUCCGACGACACUGGGGACCUUCCCACCAUUGAAAAAGCUACAAGCCCACCAAAUCUCCGUAGGUCUUCGACGCUGGCCCGGCCAAUAUCCUAUUAUCUCUCUCUUGCUCACGCGCCUUGGAAUCUUCUCCUAUCUCUCGUGACGACCCUGGUAGUGGCUUUCGAUUCCGAUGUACGCCGGGAGAUGAGUGGGACCCAUGCAGAAAAAUCCCGUCGAGGGCCCCACCUUCGACAAGUAGGUCGCCAUCUGACAGAUAAAAAACGGAGGGCGAAGCACGUACUCCACCCGUUAUCAUGUGUCCGCCUCAAAAAAUUUAGUACGGUCGCU